GGUCAUGUGGCCUAGUGGUCAUGGCAUCUGCCCGGUAAGCGGAAGGUCGUGGGUUCGAUUUUUAUUUUAUCCAUUCUGACCA